GCGUGAGGGAAGGAGGGGGGUUUUCCUGAGGGCAGCUGUCCCUUCGCUUCGUGGCCGGGCGGGAUGUGGUGGUACUAAACCGCUCCCCACCGCCUCAGAGCUCUGCUCCCCUUCUGCGGGCUUCGUGUGGAGAGCUGGUAGUGGAGGACUCUGCCUUUGCACCACUAUAGCAUGCCAUUUUGGGAGGCCAGAAGAAGGGCGUGAGGCUCACAGGAGCUUCAGGUGACACCAGACAGAAUGCCAAGUAAUCUCACCAUAGUACGGAUUUCCAAACAGAAGGCCUCCUACUGCUGGACUUGGAAUUGGAGCUUGAGCUUGUGAAGCAACAGAGAAGGAAGAAACCUCUUCAGCCUGUGCGAGAUGCCUCAGGAGUUCAUCUUCCCUCUGUUUCUGCAAAGAAUCUGAAACAAACGCUUCUGCUCCUCAAGUUCUUUCAUUAAGUCCUGGUUUUGUUGCUAUGAAGGAAGAGUGUUAUUUGGUAAAUCAUGGGAAACUGACAAUUAAAUGAUGUCAGCUUCAAGUACUGGAGCUGUCAUAUCCUAGCUGACUCAUGCUGUAUUGAUUACCAACAAAUAACCUUCACUUUCAUUGCAAGUCUUACCAUUUCAGAGUUUAACACCUAGUAAGUAUAUCUCUAUGUCAUCACUCAUGGUCUGUAUUUUCAUUACAACAUGUGAGAUGACGUCCGAAGGGGACAUAUGACAGGUCAAACAAAGAGAGGGGUUGAAGAAAAGGAAUUCAUACAGCUGAAAAAUCCACCCUGGCAGGUGAGAGCUAUCCAAGCGUGCCAGGUUUCCUGGUGCUGUCAGACUUGCGUUGAUGGUGGAUAGCCAGUACAUCCUUAGGAAUUAAUCUUGUAGCUGACUCUUGAAUUAAAUCAGUAAAUUAGAUAAGCUAGAGUACUCAGGGGUUCUGCAGUCAUUCUCAAAGUACCACUCUAAGAAUCCUGAACAUUUGGCAUCACAGCGGAGGUAAUCACAUCAUCUAUUUUAGGCAUCUAAUUUUCAAUGCCAAAGUCAGAGUAGAGCCUCCAAAAGCUUCCCCAGUAGCACAUACAGAGAGAGAAGCACCUUUAGAAGGUCACUCAGGACAACAGGCUAAAGAUGAUGUGACAGCCUCAGUCAUUGCCAAUGAUGGUUUCUUCAGGAGAAAGAAAGGCCACAGCAUGCUGCCCUUUUCUUUUAUAUCAUUCACGUUCCUUCAAGGAGUGAUUUCCCAUGCUGAGGUUUGUGGAUUACUUCUAAAAGGUCUGCAGUGGUUACCUAAGAAAAGCAAGCCUUUUGUCCAUAAACUUAAUUUAUUUACAAAUAUAGUC